ensembl:lncRNA
CAGGAUGCCUUGAAGAAUCCUCCAGUAGGCUCAUUGCAGAGAAGACCACACAAGGACCAAUAACAAACCAUGGACUGUUGAGGUGACAUCACCAAGAUGGCAGCGGGGUAGUUCCUGACUUCACUCUCCCUUGAAAGAAGAACAACUAACAAGUAUUCAUGGACGAGAUACCAACGAGAGACUCUGAGAACCAUGUGUGUUCAACUGCAAAUGACAGAAACCAUUUUGCCAAGUGUGAGAAAGAAGAGAAUUAAAAUAGUAUAUAUGUGUGUCUUAGUUUGUCUGGGCCACUGUAACAAAAGU